AAAAAAGAAAAAUCAUACCCUCUCUCAUACGAAAAACGAAAACGGUGCAUCUGAGUUCGGUUCUUCUCCAUUUUUUCCUUCUUCUUAUCCAUUUUAACUUUGGCUAUAAUACACACCCCUCCUUAACACACACACACGCUGAAGCCUCUAGCAACAAGUGGGAAUUAAAAAGUUUAGAGCUAAAAUUCAAAGAUUGCAAAGCUGAUUUUCAGUUUUAAAUCCUUGUCUUCUCUCACAUUUUUUGGGGAUUUUAGAGCUUGGUGGAGCUUUAGAACUUGUUUCGAAGAUGAGAGGUUGAUUUAAAUUCUAGUCAUUGUUCAAUUCCGCUGAUUUUUACUGUUUCUGGAAUUGCUGAGCUCUAAUCGGGUUAGUUUUCUACCUUUAGUUGAUUUAUUCAAGCUUUCUUUAUUUACCCAUGUUAGUUUGAAAUUUCUCUAUAUUAUUCUUUUAGUAAGUGAUUAAACAAUUGAUUUCAUACUUAGCUUUGAAGAUCUUGUGUUAUUUUCAUGAAACAUGAUGCCUAUUAGAAUUAAUUUGGUCACCUGCUACGUUUUUUUUCAUUAAUACAAGCUUUAAUCCUUAUGUUUGUGUAAAUAGUGUAAUAAUUUCAUUAAUCAACUAUAAGGAUUGACUUUAUUAGCUACUCUGCAUACAUCACUUACAGGAUGGUAGCUCCUUCCCUUAUGCCCCUCAGAAAAGCAAGAGCUACUGCUAAAUCAGAAGGAGUGUAUAGGACUAGAGUCUGGUCUUUUAGCAUUUAACCCUUUUAUGCCAAGAAUUUUGAUGUUCAAAAAGUAAUUACACGAAGGAGGUUUUUCUUAAACAGAUAUUUGAGUGGAAUACGUAGUGAGUUAUGUACAGAAAAUAUUUUUGUGUAUCUUAAACACGUUAGAAAAAUAUUUGUAAUAUUUGCUCUUCAUAUCUUCUACUGCUUAUUGAUGUUCUAAGAGGGUAAAUAAAAAUAUUCUUGUUGGUAUAUUAGGGUAAUUUGAUAUUAGUUGCUAAGACACUAUGACUUGCAUUCAGAGAUUUCAAAUUACGCUCCAAGCAUGCUUGUUAACAGAGAAAGAGCAGAAUAUAAUUAAUAAGAUAUUGGAUUUUAAAUCUCUAAUUUUUGAAAUUGCAGUACGUAUCGAGGAAACUCUAUUUCCUGCUUGAAAAUUGUAGCAGUUCAAAUGUUAAUAAUGCAAUUGCAACAUUUAAGCAUUCCAUUCUUUUAGCUGUCAUGACCAAAUCUUAGCAAUCUUUGCCUUUGUGAUAAGAUUUGUACUUUUGAAGUUCCUAACUGAUAGAACAAUUUAAACAUCCAUUCAAGCACCUAUUUUUAAUGCAUAAGGAAGGUGAGUUUUACCUACAAGCUGUAUGGAGCAUUCUUGAACUAGUUAGGCAUAAUUUUCAUUUGCUUGCCUAUGUGAAGUUUCAUGAGGUUUCUUCUUUGUUGCAGAUUUUUCACCCAGUGGAACCAAAUAAUAAAACUUCUUAUUAGUUUACUUGCUUAUUUCUUUGAGGUUUAAGGUAGAGCUUAUUGUAAUUCAACUUCUUUGUAGAUAUUAAUUAAUAAACAUCGUAGCUU
rnacentral:lncRNA from 1 species